rnacentral:rRNA from 1 species
UGGGGAAUAUUGGACAAUGGGCGCAAGCCUGAUCCAGCAAUACCGCGUGUGUGAAGAAGGCCUGCGGGUUGUAAAGCACUUUUGUUAGUUAGGAAAAGCCUGGAAUUAAUACUUCUGGGACUUGACGUAGACUAAAGAAUAAGCACCGGCUAACUCCGUGCCAGCAGCCGCGGUAAUACGGAGGGUGCAAGCGUUAAUCGGAAUUACUGGGCGUAAAGGGCGCGUAGGCGGUUUUUUUAGUCGGAUGUGAAAUCCCCGGGCUUAACCUGGGAACUGCAUUCGAUACUGGAAGACUAGAGUGUGGUAGAGGAAAGUGGAAUUUCAGGUGUAGCGGUGAAAUGCGUAGAUAUCUGAAGGAACACCAGUGGCGAAGGCGACUUUCUGGACCAACACUGACGCUGAGGCGCGAAAGCGUGGGGAGCAAACAGG